rnacentral:rRNA from 1 species
CAGUCGCCGCGGUAAGACAGAGGAUGCAAGCGUUAUCCGGAAUGAUUGGGUGUAAAGCGUCUGUAGGUGGCUUUUCAAGUCCGCCGUCAAAUCCCAGGGCUAAACCCUGGACAGGCGAUGGAAACUACCAAGCUGGAGUACGGUAGGGGCAAAGGGAAUUUCCGGUGGAGCGGUGAAAUGCGUUGAGAUCGGAAAGAACACCAACGGCGAAAGAACUCUGCUGGGCCGACACUGACACUGACAGACGAAAGCUAGGGGAGCAAAUGGGAUUAGAUACCCCCGUAGUCCCUGUCUCUUAUAC